rnacentral:rRNA from 1 species
CGCACGAUGAUUCUGUAUAUAUAUGAAAGCAUGCUUGCAUCUUGAUUUAAUUUUGAACGAGUGGCGGACGGGUGAGUAACACGUGGGUAACCUGCCCUUAAGUGGGGGAUAACAUUUGGAAACAGAUGCUAAUACCGCAUAAAUCCAAAAACCGCAUGGUUCUUGGCUGAAAGAUGGCGUAAGCUAUCGCUUUUGGAUGGACCCGCGGCGUAUUAGCUAGUUGGUGAGGUAACGGCUCACCAAGGCAAUGAUACGUAGCCGAACUGAGAGGUUGAUCGGCCACAUUGGGACUGAGACACGGCCCAAACUCCUACGGGAGGCAGCAGUAGGGAAUCUUCCACAAUGGACGCAAGUCUGAUGGAGCAACGCCGCGUGAGUGAAGAAGGCUUUCGGGUCGUAAAACUCUGUUGUUGGAGAAGAAUGGUCGGCAGAGUAACUGUUGUCGGCGUGACGGUAUCCAACCAGAAAGCCACGGCUAACUACGUGCCAGCAGCCGCGGUAAUACGUAGGUGGCAAGCGUUAUCCGGAUUUAUUGGGCGUAAAGCGAGCGCAGGCGGUUUUUUAAGUCUGAUGUGAAAGCCCUCGGCUUAACCGAGGAAGUGCAUCGGAAACUGGGAAACUUGAGUGCAGAAGAGGACAGUGGAACUCCAUGUGUAGCGGUGAAAUGCGUAGAUAUAUGGAAGAACACCAGUGGCGAAGGCGGCUGUCUGGUCUGUAACUGACGCUGAAGCUCGAAAGCAUGGGUAGCGAACAGGAUUAGAUACCCUGGUAGUCCAUGCCGUAAACGAUGAAUGCUAGGUGUUGGAGGGUUUCCGCCCUUCAGUGCCGCAGCUAACGCAUUAAGCAUUCCGCCUGGGGAGUACGACCGCAAGGUUGAAACUCAAAGGAAUUGACGGGGGCCCGCACAAGCGGUGGAGCAUGUGGUUUAAUUCGAAGCAACGCGAAGAACCUUACCAGGUCUUGACAUCUUUUGAUCACCUGAAAGAUCAGGUUUCCCCUUCGGGGGCAAAAUGACAGGUGGUGCAUGGUUGUCGUCAGCUCCUGUCCUGAGAUGUUGGGUUAAGUCCCGCAACGAGCGCAACCCUUAUGACUAGUUGCCAGCAUUUAAUUGGGCACUCUAGUAAGACUGCCGGUGACAAACCGGAGGAAGGUGGGGAUGACGUCAAAUCAUCAUGCCCCUUAUGACCUGGGCUACACACGUGCUACAAUGGAUGGUACAACGAGUUGCGAGACCGCGAGGUCAAGCUAAUCUCUUAAAGCCAUUCUCAGUUCGGACUGUAGGCUGCAACUCGCCUACACGAAGUCGGAAUCGCUAGUAAUCGCGGAUCAGCACGCCGCGGUGAAUACGUUCCCGGGCCUUGUACACACCGCCCGUCACACCAUGAGAGUUUGUAACACCCUAAGCUCUGGUGGCCGUAACUCAUUAAGUGA